rnacentral:tRNA from 1 species
GCCUGGCUAGCUCAAUCGGUAGAGCGUGAGACUCUUAAUCUCAAGGUUGUGGGUUCAAGCCCCACGUCGGGCU